CUUUUAUCUGCAGCAUUUAUUUUAUUUUUUUAUCUUAUUGUUUUAGAUGGUUUUGAGAGUGAAUGUUUUCUUUUCUUGAUUCAGCCAUCCGAAGCAUAUUCUCAUCAAGUGAUACUGUUUGCACUCUACAGGUUCUUGAUUUUUGAAAAGAGUAUCUCUGUCCUGAGAUUCCUUCUUCUCAAGCUUGUAUGUUUACAAGAUUUUACAAUAUCCAUGUUAACAUUACAUAUUCUCCAUCAAGAUGAGACUCCAUUGCUAUACAGCUUAGUCCUUGGAGAAGGAGUAGUGAAUGAUGCAACCUCAGUUGUUCACUUCAACGUCGUUCAAAAGAUUCACGUCGAAAGCAUCUAUGGUUUGACGGCUCUACGAGUAUUUGAAAACUUUCUGUACCUCUUCUCCACAAGCACAAUCCUCGGAAUCGCUAUUUAAAACCCAGGGCAGAAGACAAAUGUAGCUUUUUAAAUGUUUUAUUAUCACUGCUGAUCCUCAGGUAAAGUCUGUUAUAUUCAAAUUUAGGACUCUUUGAGAAUAUAAUUCAGAAUUGUGUUCUUCUCCUAAACUUGACAGAUCAUUGAGUUUCUCUGUAGUGACUGCGAUUCAGAAAGAUGAGGGUUGGUGUUACAUUGGCUGCUUCGGGUGGUCAAAGAAACUCGUCCGAGAGGAAUCUUUCUUCACAUGUGUCGCCUGCAAUAAACUAAUGCUGUGGCUGAACUCAGGUACAGGGUGAUACUUUUUGUGUUAGACGACACUGGCACAUCGGCUUUCCUUGGCUUUGAUACGAAGGUGACUAAACUGACUGGCAUUGAAGCUUCUGAGGCUGCACAUAUUGUGGGGAUAUGUUAAUGCUCAGGUUGACACUGACCUGCCUCGAUCACUGGCUGAUAUUGUUGGGAGUACCUAUACCUUCCAGCUCAGAUUAAAAGACUUCAAUUUUACUGCAAACCACCAAACCUUUACCAUUUCCCUCAUAUUUCCUGCACGAGAGCUUGCACCUAUGCCAACCUUUGCUGAAGGUGUACAAGUCCCUGAAGCUGACACACCAGGAUCAUAUGCAAGACUUGCUAACACUUGCAAAGUUGCAGAGCAAGCAACUACAUCUGAUGUUUCACUUCCCGGGCGUUUAGCAGCAGCGAAAGAACAAGUUAUUCUGGAAAGAAUACCCCGAAGAAAGCACGUGUAGAAUGAGUCCCCUUAUAAUGCAGAGCUCAUCUGCGUCUUCUUUGGAGGGAAAUAUGGAGAGCAGAACAGCUCCUACCACAUACCAAGUCAUCCAUCUGCAAGUCUUGCACCCUCCUAUAAUCCUCGAUGGCAAACUCAGAAGAAUUUUCAGAGCAAGUAUUCACAGAUUGGUGAUAAGUAACGCUCCACCGAUGAGGUUUGAAUCACACAAACUUCUUUCGUCUAAGUGUGUGUGAGUUUAUGUCUAAGUGUCUAUAGUACUCCUAUGAAGACCCGAUAUCUAACCAACAUGGGAAGGCUCCAAACCCACCAAGUUGUGACAUACUCAACAUGAACCAUCUAUGCAACAAUUAUUACUACUUUAAAAGACCGGAACAGUUUGUCCUUUACAUUUCUCAAAGAUGAGCAAAAAACAUUUCCAGUCUUUACCUUUUUUAAGAAUGAUUAUUUCUCCCUUUUUUUGGGUCAAAGAUUAUUUCUCCCUUAUGUAUUGAGUUCUCCUAUAAAGUUUCAGUUUAAGCUUCCACCAUAAUAGACAUUAACUUCUCCGUCAUCCAUACAUACAAAAACACUAAAACAAUUUACAGAAAAAAUAAUAAUUAUUGCAUCGCUUGCAUUAGUAAGAAUCUUUAGAGAUAGGCUCGAGGGGAGUCGGAAAUGCCUUUACUUGACGUACAAGUGUGGGGUCUCCUAACCGAAUAGCAUAAACCAGAGGUUUUCCAUCAAACAUGCACUCAUAAAAUUCAUAUUUCAGGUUUCUAAAUUCUAUAUCAACAAUAUCAAAUGCACCAGAAAUUAAUAUUUUUUAAAUUCGUAUAUCUACAAGCAAUGCUCAUGUGUCCCUAAUCCCCAACUAAGGACUAUAUUAUAACUCUCCUACCAUCCCAGUUCAUUACGUAACUAGAUAUAUAAAAAUACAGUCUAUAUAAUUCAUCCAACGUCUACAGAAAAAAAAAAGAAAUGAUUAAACAAAUAUAAGUUAAAUUAGCAGAAGCUUCAUUAUAUGAUCAAUUGGUUUAAAAACUAAGCACCCUAAGAAAACUUUGAAAUAAAUAGUACAAAUAUCGCUGCUUAAUUAAAACAUAAGAAUCCUGAACAAAAGGUAAAUAAUAGUUAUAUUAUUAAUAAAAUGUAACGUCAAUUAAAAACAUAUA